rnacentral:rRNA from 1 species
AGCAGCCGCGGUAAUUCCAGCUCCAAUAGCGUAUAUUAAAGUUGCUGCAGUUAAAAAGCUCGUAGUUGAAUUUCGGGACCAUCAUGUCGGUCGUGCCUCGGUACGUACUGGUAUUGUUGGUUUCUCCCUUCUGACGAACCAUGAUGUCAUUUAUUUGGUGUUGUGGGGAAUCAGGACUGUUACUUUGAAAAAAUUAGGGUGUUUAAAGCAGGCUCACGCUUGAAUACAUUAGCAUGGAAUAAUGAAAUAGGACGUUUGAUUCUAUUUUGUUGGUUUCUAGGAUCGACGUAAUGAUUAAUAGGGAUAGUUGGGGGCAUCAGUAUUCAAUUGUCAGAGGUGAAAUUCUUGGAUUUAUUGAAGACUAACUACUGCGAAAGCAUUUGCCAAGGAUGUUUUCAUUAAUCAAGAACGAAAGUUAGGGGAUCGAAGACGAUCAGAUACCGUCGUAGUCUUAACCAUAAACUAUGCCGACUAGGGAUCGGAUGAUGUUAAUUUUUAAUGACUCAUUCGGCGUCCG